AGCGAACGCUGGCGGCAGGCCUAACACAUGCAAGUCGAACGAACUCUUCGGAGUUAGUGGCGGACGGGUGAGUAACACGUGGGAACGUGCCUUUAGGUUCGGAAUAACUCGGGGAAACUUGUGCUAAUACCGAAUGUGCCCUUCGGGGGAAAGAUUUAUCGCCUUUAGAGCGGCCCGCGUCUGAUUGGCUAGUUGGUGAGGUAAAGGCUCACCAAGGCGACGAUCAGUAGCUGGUCUGAGAGGAUGAUCAGCCACAUUGGGACUGAGACACGGCCCAAACUCCUACGGGAGGCAGCAGUGGGGAAUCUUGCGCAAUGGGCGAAAGCCUGACGCAGCCAUGCCGCGUGAAUGAUGAAGGUCUUAGGAUUGUAAAAUUCUUUCACCGGGGACGAUAAUGACGGUACCCGGAGAAGAAGCCCCGGCUAACUUCGUG
rnacentral:rRNA from 1 species